UACGGAGGGUGCAAGCGUCAUCCGGAUUCACUGGGUUUAAAGGGUGCGUAGGUGGGCAAGUAAGUCAGUGGUGAAAUCUCCGGGCUUAACCCGGAAACUGCCAUUGAUACUAUUUGUCUUGAAUACUGUGGAGGUCAGCGGAAUAUGUCAUGUAGCGGUGAAAUGCUUAGAUAUGACAUAGAACACCAAUUGCGAAGGCAGCUGGCUACACAAAUAUUGACACUGAGGCACGAAAGCGUGGGGAUCAAACAGG
rnacentral:rRNA from 1 species